AAUCCCCAACAACUAGUAGACAUCGUUUAGGGCGUGGACUACCAGAGGUAUCUAAUCCUGUUUGCUACCCCACGCUCUUACGUGCAUGAGCGUCAGUAUUGGCCCAGGGGGCUGCCUUCGCCAUCGGUAUUCCUCCACAUCUCUACGCAUUUCACUGCUACACGUGGAAUUCUACCCCCCUCUGCCAUACUCUAGCCCGCCAGUCACAAAUGCAGUUCCCAGGUUAAGCCCGGGGAUUUCACAUCUGUCUUAGCGAACCGCCUGCGCACGCUUUACGCCCAGUAAUUCCGAUUAACGCUUGCACCCUACGUAUUACCGCGGCUGCUGGCACGUAGUUAGCCGGUGCUUAUUCUUCCGGUACCGUCAUCCCUACAGGGUAUUAGCCCAUAAGAUUUCUUUCCGGACAAAAGUGCUUUACAACCCG
rnacentral:rRNA from 1 species